rnacentral:tRNA from 1 species
GCCGAGGUGGCGAAAUGGUAGACGCGCUAGUCUUAGGAACUAGUCCCUUCGGGGGUGGAGGUUCGAGUCCUCUCCUCGGCA